rfam:Elusimicrobia bacterium CG1_02_37_114 cg_0.2_sub10_scaffold_411_c, whole genome shotgun sequence.
GGGGGUGAAAAGGUUUCGACAGGGAUAAUCUCAGGCAGAGACUGCAGGUUGCAGUUGGUCGGAGGCUGCAUUAAAAUUCGGCCACAACAUAAGUGCAAACACCUAUGCAUAUGCCGCUUAAUUAAAGCGACAGCGCUGCUGUCUGACGCCUAUAGGAUGGACAGCGCCAGAAUAGGCUUACUGUAAGGUCGUCUGGUUCAAGUGACCCCGCAGGAAACAAAUAUUGGACCUGGCUUUGGGCGCUCGUUCAAAAGCAAACCCAAAGUGAGAUUAAUUUUUGAGCUAAACCUGUAGAUGUCCUGCUUGUCUGUUUCUGGACCCGGGUUCGAUUCCCGGCACCUCCACCA